rnacentral:rRNA from 1 species
GAUCAUGGCUCAGGAUGAACGCUGGCGGCGUGCCUAAUACAUGCAAGUCGAACGAGGUGCUUUUGUAGCAAUACGAGAGUAUCCUAGUGGCGAACGGGUGAGUAACGCGUUGGUGACCUACCCCAAAGUGUGGGAUAAACAGUCCGAAAGGAUUGCUAAUACCGCAUGUGGUCUUCGGAUUUAGAAACUGAUGACUAAAGGAGCAAUUCGCUUUGGGAGGGACCUGCGUCCCAUCAGCUAGUUGGUGAGGUAAUGGCUCACCAAGGCUACGACGGGUAGGGGACCUGAGAGGGUGACCCCCCACAAUGGAACUGAAACACGGUCCAUACACCUACGGGUGGCAGCAGUAGGGAAUGUUGCACAAUGGGCGAAAGCCUGAUGCAGCAACGCCGCGUGUGCGAUGAAGGCCUUCGGGUCGUAAAGCACUUUUCUGGGAGAUGAGCAAGGACAGUAUCUCAGGAAUAAGUCUCGGCUAACUACGUG